UACGUAGGGUCCGAGCGUUGUCCGGAAUUAUUGGGCGUAAAGAGCUCGUAGGCGGUUUGUCGCGUCUGCUGUGAAAUCCCGAGGCUCAACCUCGGGUCUGCAGUGGGUACGGGCAGACUGGAGUGCGGUAGGGGAGAAUGGAAUUCCUGGUGUAGCGGUGAAAUGCGCAGAUAUCAGGAGGAACACCGGUGGCGAAGGCGGUUCUCUGGGCAUGACCUGACGCUGAGACGCGAAAGCGUGGGGAGCAAACAGG
rnacentral:rRNA from 1 species